rnacentral:piRNA from 1 species
UGACUUCAAGACCAACUGGCCUAUGUAGU